rnacentral:rRNA from 1 species
UACGGUAGGGGGCAAGCGUUGUCCGGAAUUACUGGGCGUAAAGGGCGCGUAGGCGGCGUGUCAAGUCAGGCGUGAAAGCCCCGGGCUCGAACCUGGGAACCGCGCUUGAGACUGGCAUGCUCGAGUUCGGGAGAGGAUGGUGGAAUUCCCAGUGUAGAGGUGAAAUUCGUAGAUAUUGGGAAGAACACCGAUGGCGAAGGCAGCCA